GCAGACUCACUCUGCGCCCAGCUGCAGCCCCAGCCGGGCGUUUUUUCCGUCUGCCACAGAAUCAUUCCAGGGUGCUGUGACCACCUUGCCGUGUCUAGGGUAAUGCAGCCACCUGGGGACACUGCU